rnacentral:rRNA from 1 species
GAUGAACGCUGGCGGCGUGCUUAACACAUGCAAGUCGAACGGAAAGGCUCCUGCUUGCAGGGGUACUCGAUUGGCGAACGGGUGAGUAACACGUGGGUGAUCUGCCCUGCACUUCGGGAUAAGCCUGCGAAACUGGGUCUAAUACCGGAUAGGACGAUGGUUUGGAUGCCAUUGUGGAAAGUUUUUCGGUGUGGGAUGAGCUCGCGGCCUAUCAGCUUGUUGGUGGGGUAAUGGCCUACCAAGGCGUCGACGGGUAGCCGCACUGAGAGGGUGUACGGCCACAGUGGGACUGAGGUACGGCCCAGACGCAUACGGGAGGCAGCAGUGGAGAAUAUUGCAAAAUGGGCGGAGGGCUGAUGGAGGGACGCCGCGUGGGGGAUGACGGCGUUCGGGUUGUAAAAUCCUUUCGUCAGGGACGAAGCGAAAGUGACGGUACCUGGAUAAGAAGCACGGGCUAACUACGU